GCCUUAGAUUUCACCAA
rnacentral:misc_RNA from 1 species